UACGUAGGGUGCGAGCGUUGUCCGGAAUUAUUGGGCGUAAAGAGCUUGUAGGCGGUCUGUCGCGUCUGCUGUGAAAAUCCGGGGCUCAACCCCGGACUUGCAGUGGGUACGGGCAGACUAGAGUGUGGUAGGGGAGACUGGAAUUCCUGGUGUAGCGGUGAAAUGCGCAGAUAUCAGGAGGGAACACCGAUGGCGAAGGCAGGUCUCUGGGCCACUACUGACGCU
rnacentral:rRNA from 1 species